UACGGAGGGUGCAAGCGUUAUCCGGAUUCACUGGGUUUAAAGGGAGCGCAGGCGGAUUGGUAAGUCAGUGGUGAAAGGCUUGAGCUUAACUCGGGAACUGCCAUUGAUACUAUCAGUCUUGAAUAUUGUUGAGGUUUGCGGAAUGAGUCAUGUAGCGGUGAAAUGCAUAGAUAUGACCCGGAACACCUAUUGCGAAGGCAGCAGGCUAAACAAAGAUUGACGCUGAGGCUCGAAAGCGUGGGGAUCAAACAGG
rnacentral:rRNA from 1 species